rnacentral:lncRNA from 1 species
ACAAAGCAAAGUCCAGAAUUUGGAGACCCGGGCUUGCACUCCCGAAGCUAGCAAAUGCAAGGGCUGGAGCCUCACCUCCAUUGACUUGGAAGUGCAACAGCCCCUGUGGGAAAACCAUAAUGUCACCCUUCUCAAGAGUUUGCAGAUAAGGUGUGUUAUCUGAGGCAACAAACCCGGCGCAGAUUGUCCCUUGGGCGACAAUUAGGACUUCUGAAGCUCCAGGGUGUGUGUGAAAUGGGACAACUCCGCCAACCGCCAAGUCUAGACGGGCGAUGGAAAUGCCGAGGCCAUUCACACCAGGAAACUGAGCAACAAAUGCAGGGGUGACUGCAGCUUUGAUGAUGUUACUGGUGUUACCAGCAAUGCCCAGGCCCGAGAACACAAAAUCAUUUACUUUAACACUUGCAGGCUUUUUGCAAGAGAAGCCUGCAGGGCCUUCAGGAGCUGCUAAGUCUGCAACACAGAAGUCUUGCACAGCCGCAUUGGAGGAGGAGAGGAGGAGAAAAAAUGUGAACAAGAUAGGGAAAAUCAUCGUUGCCUGGCGCAAUAGGUGUGUGGUGGCUGCAAGCUUUCUUUUCUUUUAAGGUGUGCAAGUCUUGAUAAGAAAAUUGGGAUCAUAUAUAGUGGGAUAAUGCAAAUAUCUUGAGCUAUUGCAAUUGGUUGCUGAGAAUAUGCUACCCAUGUAUUCACAUGUAUGGCAAUGCUAAAGGUAUACGAUGGGGGAAAGGACAGGUUUCAAGCUGUGAUGCAUGUGAGUAUGAUAUUUUUCUCGGAUAACAACAAGAAGCUUCUUUUUGUUUUGGGUUAUUGAUCGAAUGCUCCCUCAAUUUUUGCCCCAAUAUCAUUUUGGUCCAACAAUUAAAAUUUUCAUUUCAAUAGUCCUUCAACUCUUUAUUUGGUAUCAAAACGUUAAAAACUGUUCAUAUUACCGUUAAAUCAAGGGGUAAAAUUGUCCAUAUGAAUUAAAAUAUGAAUAAAAAAUUAAAAAUUGAAUGAACCUAUUAUAAAACUUAGAAAAUUAAAAAAAUUGAAUCUCACCGCCUACUGUAGUCCACUCACCAGCCACAUGGCCUUUUUUUUUUCUUUUUUUAUUGAGAUUGACUUAAAAAUUAAUAAAAACGACCAUCCGCAAAACGCAACCCCUCCCUUUUCCUCACCCAACACAAAUCCUCAAUGACUUGAUGGCCUCAAAAAGAGGCUGAAUUCCAAAGAUUUUGGUCCAUUAAAGCAGUUCCAGUGGACAAAUGCUGCCAGGGUUGUUGGUGGGCUCCACAAGCCUGGGCUGGCCCUCAAGCAAAACCAGCUCUUGCUCUAGCUUGGGUUUGCUGACAUCAGCGAUGACGUCAUCAACCAAAAUUUUAAAAAAAUUAAAAAUUAAAAAUUUCAAAAAUUUUAAAAAAUAAAUACUUAGUAAUAUUUUUCACUUCCCACACCAAAACUCUAUACAAAUUCCUCUCCUCAUAUCUCAUAUGAAUAGUGGUUACCAUGGUAAUGAGUGGAAACACCAUAAGCCUUUUGCAAGGGCUGCAACUAUUCACCUGAAUAGUAAUAGCCCUUGCCUCCCCUUGCCAUUUGCCAUGGCAAAUGGGUGGAAGUGCUCUUAGAUUCCAACAAAAACCCUUCUCUUCCUCUGGACUUUCGUCGAGCAACUGAUGGGAAACUCCAAGUCGCACCACCAGCAAACAAGGACCUUUAAGCCCAUUUCGAUGGCUGCCAUGGGGUCUGCCACUGCCUCCAACCCCUCUCUGAUUCCUAUGACGUCAUACGCCAAUUUCCUCUAGCCGUCAGAUCCAAGCAAAACUGGUCUCUCUGUUUUGGUGUUUCCAACUCGGCUCGCGGCUCCGAUUGUCCUUUCUGAGGCAAGCGCGAGGUUCACGACCACGUGGUUGGCUGCGAAGCCUGCAAGCGCGGCUUUCACCUCACAUGCACCGGAAUGCGCACUACCAAGCCAUGAAUUUGGAGAAAUGGGAAUGUGAGGAGUGUACGAGCAGUGGGGUUAGAAGCAAGUGCUGAACGUUUGGAGUUUUUUUUUUAAUUGGUUGAAAGGCCACCUGAAGUUAAGUUCAAGCAGAUUUUGCAAUAUUUUACUUUAAUUUUUAAUUACACUUCUUUUUCCAACAAAAAAAAAACUUUAUUAAUAUUUUAAUUUAUAUGGAUAGUUUUACCCCUCAAUUUAAUAAUAAAAUUGACAGACUUUGACGGUAGGACCAAUUUGAUACUAAACGGAGAGUUGAAGGACCAUUGAAAUGAAAAUUUUAGUUCAUGGACCAAAAUGAAACUGGAGCAAAAAUUAAAGGACCAUUCCAAUCAAUAACCCUUUUGUUUUUGCCCUAUGGUUUCAGAGUUACCACUAACCGUGAUGAAGCAGGCAUGAGUUCCCGAAUCUUUCGACGUUUGAGUACAAUCCCAUGUAGUAGUUUAAAAUUUUUUUGCCCACGAAGUGAUAAUUUGUUAGCUUUUUCCCAUCUGUGUUCUAUAGCUAUGACCAAUCAAACAGAUAAAGUAUAUAUUCAGCAUAUGCUGCAACUAUUUUCCUGAAUUGAUCAAUACAUUAACAAAAUAUAUAGGCUUAUUUCAUGUGUUGCUAGUACUGAAGGUUGUGUUUUAAGAUUUGAAAUCCAGCAGGAGAAGCCGAAAAAUGGUGAGCAGAUUGUGGCCCUUGAGAAAAUGGGGAAAGAUAUUCAAGGGAAGCCAUUUUGACAGCUAAAAAAUGCCAGAGGAAUGGGAAUUCUGUGGAUAUCAAAAAUUCCCCUUCUUGUAGGGUUCUUGGAUUUCAAUAUAGGAUGGUAAAAUGUCUCUUCAAAUUCUGUCUCUUUGUGGUGUAUCUUUACUAAGAUUCUUCUAGAGUUCACCUUAUCAUUAGAAGAUGGCACCAACACCACAUUGCUUUUACAUGAAUAUGAGCCAAUGAUUACCAAAAACCAAAAAAAAAAACAAAUUUAUAUGAGCAAAUGUAGAAUAAUGUAUGGACAAUUAAUUCAAUCUCAAUUAUGUGGUAUGACAUAAUGGAAAAACUCAUAUUCAUAUAAAGAUGUAGACAAUCCAAUCUCAAUUAUGUUAUGUUAACAAGUAAUUUUUUUGUCCUUAACCAAGUUGACAGAGAAAAAUUAAGGAGUCCCAAAUGCAUUGCUCUUAUACCUCCCUUUGUAACACUGACUCCGGCUCAUGGACGCCAGUCUCCUUAAUCUUAGUGAUUAGGGAUCCAGCAGAAACUUUAUACACAAAGCAGUCUUCAACAAUCAUCCUCUAUACCCUUAAGCCUUCCAGUGAUCCCGUAGCCACGACAACGUCUUCCUGAUGAAUUACACUCGUUAAAUUUAAGAAAAAAAACUCUCACUUCACCUGGAGUCAGUAAAAGAUGUACAAUGUAGAUGAAGGAAGUUGAGGUUCCACCCCAAAAUCAAUUGACAAUGGGGGGAGUAGCCCAACUCUCAGUAGACAUCAUAAGAAGAAAGGAGCACUAUCACUUACAUCAACAACAAGAAUACCACCUGCCACUUCCUCAAAGUCCUGCAUACCCGUUAUAUAUUGGGGAAGGUUAGAAAAACAGAUGGAAGAAGUACUAAGAAGAAAGGAGCAAUAUCACUUACAUCAUCAACAACAUGAAUACCACCUGCCACUUUCUCAAGGUCCUGCAUUCCAGUUAUAUAUUGUGAAUUGAAAAUUAGAGAAACAGCUGGAAGAAGAACUAAAUUAACAUGUACCUUUAUGUACAACAUGGUUUAAAAUUCAAAUCACUUUAUGCGCACCUCCAUAUAGGAACCAUCGGGACCAAAAAGAAGUGUUUUCAGUUCGGAAUGUUGUUCCUGCACAAAAUAUAGAUUAGACCAAAGGCUCAUAUUACUUGCCCAAUGCUCACAUUAAUUCCAAAUUUGAUAAAAAUUAUAAAGAUCAAGCAAAAGCUGUAACACCAUGUUACAGUGCUGAAGUUAAGAAGUACGCCACUUAACGGUGUGCAGUAAGGAAAUAAUACACAGCCGUUUAAUUGUUUUUGCUAGAUGUUUUUCUAACUGUUGGCAAUAUAAUUGGGGUGCAGGCACUUAAAAAACUGGCAGGUUGUAAUGUUGUUCUUGCUGAGGUAAGUGUUACAGUUGCUUUGUGAUUUUGAUGGCUACAUUGCUUGCACAUCUUGUUCUAUCUAAUAUUUUUAAUCUGCAUGUAAACUAUCAGUGGAAGGAGGCAUUAUUUUAGCUAUAGGCCCAUUUGAAGGAUUAAGGUUGAUGAGGACAUUCAUGGAAGACUGCAUUGUUUGCAACGUUUCCCCUCGAACCCUUAUCCGUCGGGUCAGAGAUGUGGAUUGUAUGGCUGUUUACGGUAAUCUGCGUUAUAUCUCUGGUGACGGCUUUGAGUGCAAGGAAUGAUUUUGGAGCCGUUGCCUUCUUUUCUCUGUGAAUUCUGAAUUCUAUAUGGGGUCGAGAGUAGUAUGUCUUGAUCUCUUGGACUACAGGGGUUCAAGAUAUUUGUGAUCACUCAUCGUUGGAUAUAAAUUCAAUGGUUCACUCACUCUUGCACUCCUUUUAAAUAACUUUUUUGAACUACUAGAUUAAUAUCUAACGGUGGGUGACUACAAUCUCUUGGACUCCUGUGGUCCAAGAGAUCGGGACUGUGAACAUUAGUAUUAAACAAUUUCCUCCGUUCAUCAAACAUUAUUUUGGUAUAUAUAGUUACCAACUUUCCAUAUUAUCCUUAUUAUUUUCUUAACAAUACGAUAUUCUAAACUACUCUAAAAUACGGAGAGGGAGAUUUGAGCUCAGGUGCAACUGGGUGGACACAGCUGCUAAUGCGUGUGCUCCUUAUUUUCAAAUCUAUUAUUUGAUUACAGGCCUUCUCAAUCACAAGAAGAAAACAAAGGGACAAUCUUUAGUGACCUUCUUCCUCUUCGGUAUCUCAAUAGACCUUAUUAGUGCCACCAAGAACACCCUUAAGCUUCUUUAUCUGAGGAGCAUCAAGUAAAGUAGUCUGCGCUAUCAAUUCGGUAGCUAAGUCAUUUUUGAAGAGUGCAAAGUCCACAAUCUGCAGACCAGGGCUUGGACUGCUGAAGCUAGGAAAUGCAAUGGCCGGAGUGUCACCUCCAUUCACUUGGAAGUGCAAUAGUCCUUGAGGGAACACGAUAAUGUCACCCUUCUUAAGAGUUUUCAGAUAAGGUGUGUUAUCUGAGGCAACAAACCCGGCAAUUAUUGUCCCUUGGACAACAAGUAAAACUUCUGAAGCUCCGGGGUGAGUGUGAAAGGGGACAACUCCACCCGGACCCAGGUCUAAACGAGCCAGUGAAAUGCCAAGGCCAUUCACACCAGGAAAUUGGGCAGCAAAUGCAGGGGUGACUGCUGCUUUGAAGAUAUUUGUGGUGUUACCAGCAAUGCCUAGGCCUGAGUACACAAAAUCAUUGACGGUAACUAUUGCGGGCUUUUUGCAAGAGUAGCCUGCAGGGCCAUCAGGAGCUUUGUAGUCUGCAACACAGAAGUCUUGCACAGAGGCAUGGGAAGUGGAGAGGAGGAGAAAAAAUGUGAAGAAGAUAGGGAAAAUCAUCUUGGCUGAGUGUAGCAGGUAUUUGUUUAAGCCUUUUUGAGGUGUGCUUCUGUAAAGCAAAUUGGGAUUUACAUAUAUAGCGGGAUAAAGCGAAUAUCUUGAACCACUGCAAUUGGUUGGUACUAGGUAGGAAUUUGCCCAUAUAGGACUCACAUGCAGGGGCGGUGGCAGGGUAGGCAGCCGCCAACUCCAUUUUUUGCCAAACUAAAAAUUACUCAAUACCCAAUACAAUCAAAUUUCUUCUGUUUACUCAAACCCAACCCACCAGGGGCAGUCCUACCCUAAGAGCAGGGUAGGCAGCGGCUACUCCAUUUUUUGCCAAACCAAAAAUUAUCCAAUACCCAAUACAAUCAAAUUUCUUCUGCCUACUCAAACCCAACCCGCUCAAAUUUUUUCCUUUAACAAAAACAAUAGCCUAGCACACUCAAACUUUCUCCUUUAACAAGAACAAUAAAAAGCAAUAUAAGCAUGUGAAAGAUGUGAAAGUUGUAUGAAGAUUUUUUUUUUUUUUAAAAUUACAAAAAAGGUGGUAGGAGUGUCACCUCUUCGAGCCGGGCACGAAUUAUGGGAAAGUUCUCCCCAAGAGGUUCGUUACACAUGCAGAGGAUCGAACUCAGGACCUCAGUGUGGAGCCCGAUCACAUUCGCCCAACAUGUGUGGCCUAGCCCAUUCAAUUUUCCACUAGACCAAACCCACUUGGGUAUGGAGAUAUUUUUCAACGUUGACUAACAUUGUGAAUUUUGUUAGUGCGUCUGCUAAGCGCUGUAAUGAGUUAAAUUUAUUUCGAAAAGCUAAACUCAAAGAGUUGUUAGAUUUUGGGGAACUUGAGACAGAUAGAAGACUUAAUCAAGGUCGUAGUUUGAAACGAGCUGGAGCCGCUCGUUGGGGAUCUCACUUUGCCUCUAUUACAAGUUUGAUGAGUUUAUUUAAAGAGACUAAAAUACUUCUCCAAGAAAUCAGUGAUUAUGGACCUAACCAACAAUUUCAUGGCAAUGCAAAGAGUAACUAUAUUGCUAUGAUGUCUUUUGAGUUUGUGUUUUCAUUGUUUUUGAUUGAUAAAAUAAUGGGAUUGACCAACUUUCUUUGUCAACUGUUUCAGACAAAAACCUAAGAUAUUGCAAGUGCUUUAAACUUUGUUGAAAACACGAAAUCACAGUUCCAAGAUAUGAGGGCACAUGACUGGGAUGAUUUAUUCAUGGGUGUGGUAUCAUUUUGUGAACAACAUGGUAUUAAUGUUCCUGAUAUGAGUUCUCGUUAUAUGAGUCCCUACCAUAAGAAUGAGGAAACCCGCUUCUUUAUUAUAUUUUGUAAAUAUCUCUUCCUUCCCUUCCAAAGAAUAUUUUUCUUAGAAGUCGGCGAAUCGUAAAAGGACUUGUAUAAAAUGAUUGCUAUCUUUCGGCUUUCCACUUACCCGGUUCCCCACGCGGCGAAUGGGUACGUCCGGGGUCGAUCGUAUAGAUUGACGCAAAAUUUUUUUAUUUUAACGAAUCGUGCCGCCGAAGAAACCUCACCCUAACCACAUAAAGCCAAAAAAUUAGCGGUCGUUUUUGUCAAUAAAAAGAUUUUAUUACAGUUGAACAUUACUAUUACAUUAAUGUAUUUAAUGAUGUGAUAGAUUGCAUGGUGAGGGAGUUAAAUGACAGAUUUCUAGAGCAAACAGUUAAACUUUUUAUUUUUAGCUCAGCAUUUGAUCAUCGUAAUUCCUUCAAAUCAAUCAAUAUUGGGCAUCUAUGUAAACUUGCUGAGAAAUUCUAUCAUGCUGAUUUCAGUCCAAGUGACUUGAAAGCUUUAGAAAUUGGGAUGAGGUAUUUCAAAAUGAUAAGCAUCGCCUUCCCCGCUUUAAGGACCUCACCACUCUUCCUCAGUUAUGUCAACAAUUGGUGGAAACAACUUUGGGAGAAAACUACUAUUUGCUUUACAAGUUGAUUUAGUUGGUGUUGACUCUUCAUGUUUCUACAGCAACAAAGAACGAGCUUUUUCAUUUAUGAGAAUUAUUAAGAAUAGACUUUGGAGCACCAUAGCUGAUGAAUUCCUUACUGAUUGCAUGAUUCUCCACAUUGAAAGAGAGUUUGCUCAUAAUAUCGAUAAUGAAGAGAUAAUUGAGGAAUUUAAGAUUUUUAAGCCUUGCAGGGUAAAGUUUUAGAUUUAAAUAGUUUAGUUUUGUGUUGCAUUGCAUUUACUUCUUGUUUUUCUGUUAAGCGUUUAUUUAUAUAUAGAUAUGCAUAUUUGAUGGUAAGGCUCAUUACGUCCCCCCUAACUAGAUGUAUCUUUUUCUUCUUUUUUUUGUGCCCCUAAAGUGAUAAUUUGUUAGCCUUUUCCCAUCUGUGUUCUAUAGCUAUGACCAAUCAAACAGAUGAAGUAUAUAUUCAGCAUAUGCUGCAACUAUUUUCCUGAAUUGAUCAAUACAUUAACAAAAUAUAUAGGCUUAUUUCAUGUGUUGCUAGUACUGAAGGUUGUGUUUUAAGAUUUGAAGUCCAGCAGGAGAAGCCGAAAAAUGGUGAGCAGAUUGUGGUCCUUGAGAAAAUGGGGAAAGAUAUUCCAGGGAAGCCAUUUUGACUGCUAAAAGGUGCCAGAGGACUGGGAAUUCUGUGGAUAUCAGAAAUUCCCCUUCUUGUAGGGUUCUUGGAUUUCAAUAUAGGAUGGUAAAAAGUCUUUACAACUUCUGUCUCUUUCUGGUGUAUCUUUACUAAGAUUCUUCUAGAGUUCACCUUAUCAUCGGAAGAUGGCACCAACACCACAUUGAUUUUACUUGAAUAUGAGCCAAUGAUUACCAAAAAAGAAAAAAGAAAAACAAAUUUGUAUGAGAGCAAAUGUAGAAUAAUGUAUGGACAAUUAAUUCAACCUCAAUUAUGUGUUAUGACAUAAUGGAAAAACUCAUAUUCAUAUAAAGAUAUAGACAAUCUAAUCUCAAUUGUGUUAUGUUAAUAAGUAAUUUUUUCGUCCUUAACCAAGUUGACAGAGAAAAAUUAAGGAGUCCCAAGCGCAUUGCUCUUACACCCGCACCGUGUACACCCGCCUUUGUAACACUUUCCCGGCUCAUGGACGCCCGUCACCUGGAGUCAGUAAAAUAUGUACAAUGUAGACAUCAUAAGAAGAAAGCAGCACUAUCACUUACAUCAACCACAAGAAUACCACCUGCCACUUCCUCAUCCUCAAAGUCCUGCAUACCAGUUAUAUAUUGGGGAAGGUUAGAAAAACAGCUGGAAGAAGUACUAAGAAGAAAGGAGCAAUAUCACUUACAUCAUCAACAAUAUGAAUACCACCCGCCACUUUCUCAAGGUCCUGCAUUCCAGUUAUAUAUUGUGAAUUGAAAAUUAGAGAAACAGCUGGAAGGAGAACUAAAUUAACAUGUACCUUUAUGUACAACAUGGUUUAAAAUUCAAAUCACUUUAUGCACCUCUAUAUAGGAACCAUUGGGACCAAAAAGAAGUGUUUUCAGUUCGGAAUGUUGUUCCUGCACAAAAUAUAGAUUAGACCAAAGGCUCAUAUUACUUGCCUAAUGCUCACAUUAAUUCCAAAUUUGAUAAAAAUUAUGAAGAUCAAGCAAAAUCUUUAACACCAUGUUCCAGUGCUGAAGUUAAGAAGUACGCCACUUAAUUAAUGGUGUGCAGAAAGGAAAUAAUACACAGCUGUUUAAUUGUUUUUGCUAGAUGUUUUUCUAACUGUUGGCAAUAUAAUUGGGGUGCAGGCACUUUAAAAACUGGCAGGUUGUAAUGUUGUUCUUGCUGAGGUAAGUGUUACAGUUGCUUUGUGAUUUUGAUGGCUACAUUGCUUGCACAUCUUGUUCUAUCUAAUAUUUUUAAUUUGCAUGUAAACUAUCAGUGGAAGGAGGCAUUAUUUUAGCUAUAGGCCCAUUUGAAGGAUUAAGGUUGAUGAGGACAUUCAUGGAAGACUGCAUUGUUUGCAACGGUUCCCCUCGAAACCCUUAUCCGUCGGGUUAGAGAUGUGGAUCGUAUGGCUGUUUACGGUAAUCUGCGUUAUAUCUCUGGUGACGGCUUUGAGUGCAAGGAAUGAUUUUGGAGCCGUUGCCUUCUUUUCUCUGUGAAUUCUGAAUUCUAUAUGGGGUCGAGAGUAGUAUUGAACAUUAGUAUAUUAAACAAUUUCCUCCGUUCAUCAAACAUUAUUUUGGUAUAUAUAGUUACCAACUUUCCAUAUUAUCCUUACUUUUUCAAAUUUUUUUCUUAACAAUACGAUAUUCUAAACUACUCUAAAAUACGGGGAGGGAGAUUUGAGCUUAGGUGCAACUGGGUGGACACAGCUGCUAAUGCGUAUGCUCCUUAGUUUCAAAUCUAUUAUUUGAUUAGUUCGGGGUUUUAGAGUAUAUUAUAUCAUUCUUAUUUCUUGAUUGACAAAGCAGGUUAUCUUAAUAAUAUAGAUAUUACAACGAAUCUGGACCUGGAGAUGCAUUGUCAUCUUAAUUAAGAUACAAAUAGAUGGGGCAUUUGCCUUCAACACAAUGAUACUUCUACAAGCAUACAAAAAGCACGAACUAGAGUAAAAUUUUACUGGUAAUGCAGAAACUGCCACUGGGCAAAACAAUCCUAAACUUACAGGCCUUCUCAAUCACAACAAGAAAACAAAGGGACAUGAAAUAAAAGAAAGAUUCAAUCUUUAGUGACCUUCUUCCUCUUCGGUAUCUCAAUAGACCUUAAUUAGUGCCACCAAGAACACCCUUAAGCUUCUUUAUCUGAGCAGCAUCAAGGAAAGUAGUCUGCGCUAUCAAUUCGGUAGGUAAGUCAUUUUUGAAGAGUGCAAAGUCCAGAAUCUGCAGACCAGGGCUUGGACUGCUGAAGCUAGGAAAUGCAAGGGCCGGAGUGCCACCUCCAUUCACUUGGAAGUGCAAUAGUCCUUGAGGGAACACCAUAAUGUCACCCUUCUUAAGAGUUUUCAGAUAAGGUGUGUUAUCUGAGGCAACAAACCCGGCAAUUAUUGUCCCUUGGACAACAAGUAAGACUUCUGAAGCUCCGGGGUGAGUGUGAAAGGGGAUAACUCCACCCGGACCCAGGUCUAAACGAGCCAGUGAAAUGCCAAGGCCAUUCACACCAGGAAAUUGGGCAGCAAAUGCAGGGGUGACUGCUGCUUUGAUGAUAUUUGUGGUGUUACCAGCAAUGCCUAGGCCUGAGUACACAAAAUCAUUGAUGGUAACUUUUGCAGGCUUCUUGCAAGAGUAGCCUGCAGGGCCAUCAGGAGCUUUGUAGUCUGCAACACAGAAGUCUUGCACAGAGGCAUGGGAAGAGGAGAGGAGGAGAAAAAAUGUGAAGAAGAUAGGGAAAAUCAUCUUGGCUGAGUGUAGCAGGUAUUUGUUUAAGCCUUUUUGAGGUGUGCUUCUGUAAAGCAAAUUGGGAUUUACAUAUAUAGCGGGAUAAAGUGAAUAUCUUGAACCAUUGCAAUUGGUUGGUAGGAAUGUGCCCAUGUAGGACUCACAUGUGGAAAGAUGUUAAGCAUACGGCAAACGACAGAUUUCAAGCUAGCUGUGAUGCAUGUGAACAUGAUAUUUUCUUCAUAUAACAACAAGAAGCCUCUUUUUGCUUUUGAAAAUGCAGUAACAGCAAGAUCUUAUUAAGAAAACAACUGACCUACGGUUUCAGAGUUAUCACUAAUUAAUCAUGCUGCAUAUCUAACAAGAGAAUCCAAGGUUUUGUUUUAAGAUUAAAAGUCCUUGAAGGUCUGAAAAAGGCACAACAGAUUGCGGUCCUUGAGGUUUGAGCACAUGGGAGAAAGAUAUUAUGGGGGCAUAAGAAGACAUUUUGACAGCUAAAAGGAGGCAGGAAAAUGGGAAUGUGUGGCUAUGAGAAGUUCCCCUUCUUGCAGGGUGCUUGGAUUUCAUUAUUGAGAACUGUAAAGUCUUCUCAAAUUCUGUCUCUUUGUAUGUCUUAGCUGCAAUAUUCCUCUAGAGUUGAGUCAAUGUAGAAACUUAUAUUACAAAUUACACAUCGUGCCUUGAGCUUCAUGCACGUAAUAUCGAUGCCUCAGUUGAAGUUUCUCACUAAUAUGCUUUAUAGCAGUGGAUUUUCAAAACAAUGCCCCUAUAAGUUAUGCUACGUUCUAUUUACCAACAUUUACUGUCAAUUUUUUUUACGCAGAUUUGGCUUAGAGACAAACGAAAUGUGGCGGUAACUUUUCUCUUUUGGUCAUAAUCUGUGGUUAAUUUGAGUUCAGUUACUUCAUUACUCAGUUGCAGAAUGUAAAAAUGAGAAGGAAUCUUUUCUUUUGCCUAGGUCUAAAAUCCUAUAUUUUGCGUGUGUGGUGUUUAUAGAAGCUUUCAAGAUAAGGUUAUGAGCUUUUAGGAUAACCAUCCGCAGGGUGUAGCCUUCCAUCUUUCACUUUCAGCCAACAAAUACAAAAGCUCCGUACAGAAUUUUGUUUGUGAAGUUGUCCAAAACACUAUGAUAUGUGCCACUGAUUCUAAAUACAAAAAAAUAUAGAUACAAUAGUAUAGAAUGAGUUAUAUAUCAACAGUACAUUAUACAAUUCUGAGUGAAGGAAAAAAGGUACAUAUAAAAUUCUUUGCAUGUAAAGAAUCUGAAGAUCAAGAUUUAAACACAGAAUGUCAUGCUUAAAUAGAAAAAAGGUUAUGAGCAACACCCAGAAACCAAAUCACCAAAAGCUAAAUUCAAAUCAAAAACCAGAAAAGGGAGUUCUGCCCAUUUCUCAUGAACCAAAUCACCAAAAGCUAAAUAUGAACUUAAAUGGAUGAGAUUUGAGGAUUUGAAGGAAUGAGAGAAAAUGAUGGGACAGUCCCUCCAAUAAAGCAUGAGGUUCAUGAAAUUUCAUUACAUUAGAAAAUAAAGCUUCAAAGGGGAAAAUGAUAAAUAAGUUUUUGGUAUUUCCUGUUUGUUCAAAAAAAGAAAAAAAAAAGAAAAAAAAAAGUAGGGAUAGAUUGAAUGGUUGAGGAUGAAUGAGAAGAUUGAGCAUUGUGCAAAUCUUGUUUGCAAUACUGGUUUCCUUAAUUAUGUUAAGUGAAAAGUAAUAUGAAAAUAAAUUAAAUAUCAAUCUCUUUUUGUUAUUUAUUGGACAAUGUGGGUAAAGUCAAAAUGUCAAAAGGAAAAAAAGCUCGUAGAAGAAGAAAAAGUAGGUCCA